CCUGGUGGUUAGAGCGCGGCGGACCCACCCGUUCUCAUUCCGAACACGGAAGUGAAACGUCGCAGCGCUGACAAUACUGCCCUGGCAACGGGGUGUGGAAGAUAGGCCACCGCCAGGA
rnacentral:rRNA from 2 species